UCAUUGUGGAUUUUAUUCCUUAAUGUACAAUAAUAUACCUGUUUCAUCUGUCAGAUAUACACCAGGGUUGCGAUAUUUUCCGUUUACUUUCCCCAAAAUUCCCAGAAAUCCCGUUUUUUUAGAAUUCCGGGAAUCAAGACGGAAUAAGCAGGAAAUCCGGUCCAACUGUACCGAUGUGCGCUGAGAGUCGGGAAGCAGGUUCAGGGAGUGUUUUAAUAAAUAGAUACACAAACAAGAACAAAGGCCACAGACCGGACACAGAAACAAUGACGCCUGGGGAUAUAAGGCAGGUAAAUCAGUGAUGGAGUCCAGGUGAGUGUCAUAAUGCGCGUAACGAUGGUGACAGGUGUGCAUAACGAUGGUGACAGGUGUGUGUAAUGAUGGUGACAGGUGUGUGUAAUGAUGGUGACAGGUGUGUAUAAUGAUGGUGACAGGUGUGUAUAAUGAUGGUGACAGGUGUGUGUAAUGAUGGUGACAGGUGUGUGUAAUGAUGGUGACAGGUGUGUGUAAUGAUGGUGACAGGUGUGUGUAAUGAUGGUGACAGGUGUGUGUAAUGAUGGUGACAGGUG